rnacentral:rRNA from 1 species
GACAGAGGGUGCAAACGUUGUUCGGAAUUACUGGGCGUAAAGCGAGUGUAGGCGGUUUGGUAAGUCGGAUGUGAAAGCCCCGGGCUCAACCCGGGAAGUGCACUCGAUACUGCCAAGCUAGAGUAUCGGAGAGGUUGGUGGAAUUCUCGGUGUAGAGGUGAGAUUCGUAGAUAUCGAGAGGAACACCGGUGGCGAAGGCAAUCCCCUGGGCCUGCACUGACGCUCAUGCACGAAAGCGUGGGGAGCAAACAGG